rnacentral:rRNA from 1 species
CCUACGGGGGGCAGCAGUGGGGAAUAUUGGGCAAUGGGCGCAAGCCUGACCCAGCAACGCCGCGUGAAGGAAGAAGGCUUUCGGGUUGUAAACUUCUUUUCUCAGGGACGAUGAAAGUGACGGUACCUGAGGAAUAAGCCACGGCUAACUACGUGCCAGCAGCCGUGGUAAUACGGAGGUGGCAAGCGUUAUCCGGAUUUAUUGGGUGUAAAGGGCGUGUAGGCGGGAGCGCAAGUCAGAUGUGAAAACUCAGGGCUCAACCCUGAGACUGCAUUUGAAACUGUGUUUCUUGAGUGCUGGAGAGGUAAGCGGAAUUCCGGGUGUAGCGGUGAAAGGCGUAGAGAGACGGAGGAACACCAGUGGCGAAGGCGGAUUGCUGGACAGUAACUGACGCUGAGGCGCGAAAGCGUGGGGAGCAAACAGGAUUAGAUACCCUGGUAGUC